GACGAACGCUGGCGGCGUGCUUAACACAUGCAAGUCGAGCGGUAAGGCCCUUUCGGGGGUACGACGAGCGGCGAACGGGUGAGUAACACGUGGGUGACCUGCCCUUACGCUCUGGGAUAAGCCUGGGAAACUGGGUCUAAUACCGGAUAUGACUCCAUGACGCAUGUUGUGGGGUGGAAAGCCUUGUGCGGCUAGGGAUGGGCCCGCGGCCUAUCAGCUUGUUGGUGGGGUGAUGGCCACCAAGGCGACGACGGGUAGCCGGCCUGAGAGGGCGACCGGCCACACUGGGACGUGAGACACGGCCCAGACUCCUACGGGAGGGCAGCAGUGGGGAAUCUUGCGCAAUGGGCGAAAGCCUGACGCAGCGACGCCGCGUGGGGAGUGAC
rnacentral:rRNA from 1 species